rnacentral:rRNA from 1 species
UACAGAGGGGGCAAGCGUUGUUCGGAAUUACUGGGCGUAAAGGGCGCGUAGGCGGCCUGUUAAGUCGAACGUGAAAUCCCCGGGCUCAACCGGUCGGAACUGCGUCCGAUACUGGCAGGCUUGAAUCCGGGAGAGGGAUGCGGAAUUCCAGGUGUAGCGGUGAAAUGCGUAGAUAUCUGGAGGAACACCGGUGGCGAAGGCGGCAUCCUGGACCGGCAUUGACGCUGAGGCGCGAAAGCCAGGGGAGCAAACGGG